rnacentral:rRNA from 1 species
UUUGUGGAGAGUUUGAUCCUGGCUCAGGACGAACGCUGGCGGCGUGCUUAACACAUGCAAGUCGAACGGAAAGGCCCCUUGCUUGCAAGGGGUACUCGAGUGGCGAACGGGUGAGUAACACGUGGGUGAUCUGCCUUGCACUCUGGGAUAAGCUUGGGAAACUGGGUCUAAUACCGGAUAUGAACUGCCUUUAGUGUGGUGGUUGGAAAGUUUUUUC